rnacentral:rRNA from 1 species
AUGAACGCUGGCGGCGUGCCUCAUACAUGCAAGUCGAGCGAACAGACGAGAAGCUUGCUUCUCUGAUGUUAGCGGCGGACGGGUGAGUAACACGUGGAUAACCUACCUAUAAGACUGGGAUAACUUCGGGAAACCGGAGCUAAUACCGGAUAAUAUUUUGAACCGCAUGGUUCAAAAGUGAAAGACGGUCUUGCUGUCACUUAUAGAUGGAUCCGCGCUGCAUUAGCUAGUUGGUAAGGUAACGGCUUACCAAGGCAACGAUGCAUAGCCGACCUGAGAGGGUGAUCGGCCACACUGGAACUGAGACACGGUCCAGACUCCUACGGGAGGCAGCAGUAGGGAAUCUUCCGCAAUGGGCGAAAGCCUGACGGAGCAACGCCGCGUGAGUGAUGAAGGUCUUCGGAUCGUAAAACUCUGUUAUUAGGGAAGAACAUAUGUGUAAGUAACUGUGCACAUCUUGACGGUACCUAAUCAGAAAGCCACGGCUAACUACGUG